GAUGGAUCCGGAACAUACUUUCGAAGUUGCGACACAUGGAAAACGUUGUGCAAAUUCGAAAGAUGCGGCGGUAAACCCACUCGGUAAGCCACCGUUCCAACUCUUUCCAAUAUCUGAUAUGGACCAAUGAACUUCGGGGUCAACUUCUUUGACUUCAAAGCACGUCCUACACCAGUCAUAGGAGUGACUCUCAAAAACACGUGGU
rnacentral:lncRNA from 1 species